GUGUCAGCCGCCGCGGUAAUACGUAGGUGGCGAGCGUUGUCCGGAAUUAUUGGGCGUAAAGGGCGCGUAGGCGGUCUUUUAAGUCAGAUGUGAAACCCCGGGGCUUAACUCCGGAAUGGCAUUUGAAACUGGGAGACUAGAGUGCAGGAGAGGAAAGUGGAAUUCCUAGUGUAGCGGUGAAAUGCGUAGAUAUUAGGAGGAACACCAGUGGCGAAGGCGACUUUCUGGACUGUAACUGACGCUGAGGCGCGAAAGCGUGGGGAGCAAACAGGAUUAGAUACCCUGGUAGUCCACGCUGUAAACGAUGGAUACUAGGUGUGGGAGGUAUCGACCCCUUCCGUGCCGCAGUAAACGCAAUAAGUAUCCCGCCUGGGGAGUACGGCCGCAAGGUUGAA
rnacentral:rRNA from 1 species